GGACUACCGGGGUAUCUAAUCCUGUUUGCUCCCCACGCUUUCGCGCCUCAGCGUCAGUAUUGGUCCAGAAAGUCGCCUUCGCCACUGGUGUUCCUUCCGGUAUCUACGCAUUUCACCGCUACACCGGAAAUUCCACUUUCCUCUACCAUACUCUAGUCUUACAGUAUCAAAUGCAAUUCCCAGGUUAAGCCCGGGUCUUUCACAUCUGACUUAUAAAACCGCCUACGCGCUCUUUACGCCCAGUAAUUCCGAUUAACGCUCGCACCCUCUGUAUUACCGCGGCUGCUGGCAC
rnacentral:rRNA from 2 species